GACAAACGCUGGCGGGGUGCGUGAGACAUGCAAGUCGAACGAGGUGCCAACGAGCUUGCUCGAUGGUUACCGAGUGGCGGACGGCUGAGUAACGCGUAGGUGACCUGCCCGGAAGUGGGGAAUAACUGCCCGAAAGGGUGGCUAAUACCGCAUGUGGUCGACGAUUCAAUUCGUCGUCUAAAGGAGUAAUCCGCUUCCGGAGGGGCCUGCGUCCGAUUAGCUAGUUGGUGGGGUAACGGCNCACCAAGGCGACGAUCGGUAGCUGGUCUGAGAGGAUGAUCAGCCAGACUGGGACUGAGAACGGCCCAGACUCCUACGGGAGGCAGCAGUCGGGAAUUUUGCCCAAUGGACGAAAGUCUGAGGCAGCAACUCCGCGUGAGGGAUGAAGGCUCUAGGGUCGUAAACCUCUUUUCUCAGGGAAGAUCCAAGACGGUACCUGAGGAAUAAGCCACGGCUAACUACGUGCCAGCCGCCGCAGUAAG
rnacentral:rRNA from 1 species